CCGUUUGGAACAUGUUCUUCAGCGUGUACCCCUAGAUCUGGACUUCUUAGACUUCAUUUGCACUCAAGAACAUGUCUUUUUAAAUGCUUUGUCUAGUCAGUUAACAGUCUGUCCUGCUAUUUUAGAGGAACUGACAUAUCUGCAAAGACUUAUUAGUACUGAAAAAGAAAGAACAAACAGUUGCAUUGCUGUUGUGCAAUGGGAGCAGGGUCCAGCUGGGCGACAACGAAUGGCGCUAUCCUCAGACUACCUUUGUAGCCUUCUGGAACUUAAUCUUCCGGUCACAUGCAUAGCCAAACUCUUGGCUACAGCAUUGUCAUUUUUGGUGGCAUUGAUGGUUUUUCACGCAAAAUAAUGUAUCAUGGUACAGCAUCCAACAAUCUGGCAGCAACUACACUAUCUUUCUUCCAAAGGGCAGUUGAAAAGUUUGGUUUUCCUCUGAGGGUACGUGCUGAUCACGGGGGAGAAAACGUAGACGUUGCACAACUUAUGUUUACGGUCCGUGGCACUGGAAGAAGCAGCUUCAUUUCUGGAAAAAGUGUUCACAACCAAAGGUUUGUUUGUUUUAAGAACCCGAUAUGUGAGUGUUUUUUUGUUUUUUUUUGUACAAGUAGUAAUAGGACAACUGCACUGUCAAAGCAUGUGCUACUUUAAGUUGGAUUUAGUUGGACACACAAUUCAUU